GGUAAAAUGGCUGAAUUAUAGGUAAUAAAUUGUAAAUUUAUUUAUGAAAUUUUUUUCUUUUUCCA
rnacentral:tRNA from 1 species